AAGAAAGUCCGCUUUCGGGCGGAUUGAUCCAACCCAGAGGAAGUCACGGCUAACUCUGUGCCAGCAGCCGCGGUAAGACAGAGGUGGCAAGCGUUAUUCGGUGUUACUGGGCUUAAAGCGUGUGUAGGCGGACUGGCGUGCGUCUUGUGAAAUCCCUCGGCUUAACCGGGGAAUUGCUGGACGAACUACCAGCCUUGAGGCAAGUAGGGGUGCGCGGAACUCUUGGUGGAGCGGUGGAAUGCGUAGAUAUCAAGAGGAACGCCGGCGGUGAAGACGGCGCACUAGGCUUGCCCUGACGCUGAGACACGAAAGCGUGGGGAGCAAACAGGAUUAGAUACCCUGGUAGUCCACGCCCUAAACUAUGUCUACUAGGUUGCGGUCGUUCUGACACGUCCGGAGCCGAAGCAAAAGUGUUUAGUAGACCGCCUGGGGAGUACGGUCGCAAGGCUAAAACUCA
rnacentral:rRNA from 1 species